UUCAAGUAAUCCAGGAUAGGCUGUGAUCUGGGCAGUCAGCCUGUUCUUGGUUACUUGGCUC
rnacentral:pre_miRNA from 1 species